rnacentral:rRNA from 1 species
GACGUAGGGGGCCAGCGUUGUUCGGAAUUACUGGGUGUAAAGGGUUCGUAGGCGGUGCGGCAAGUCGGGAGUGAAAUCUCUGGGCUUAACCCAGAGGCUGCUUCCGAAACUGCUGUGCUUGAGUGUGGGAGAGGCGCGUGGAAUUGCAGGUGUAGCGGUGAAAUGCGUAGAUAUCAGGAGGAACACCGGCGGCGAAGGCGGCUCACUGGACCGGAACUGACGCUGAUGCGCGAAAGCGUGGGGAGCAAACGGG